UUUACAGUCCCACCAACAGUGUAAAAGUGUUCCUAUUUCUCCACAUCCUCUCCAGCACCUGUUGUUUCCUGACUUUUUAAUGAUUGCCAUUCUAACUGGUUUGAGAUGGUAUCUCAUUGUGGUUUUGAUUUGCAUUUCUCUGAUAGCCAGUGAUGGUAAGCAUUUCUUCAUGUGUUUUUUGGCUGCCUAUGACAAACCCACAGCCAAUAUCAUACUGAAUGGGCAAAAACUGGAAGCAUUCCCUUUGAAAACUGGCACAAGACAGGGAUGCCCUCUCUCACCAC
rnacentral:lncRNA from 1 species